GCCUAAUUAGCUUAGCUGGUAGAGCAACUCAUUCGUAAUGAGUAGGUCGUAAGUUCGAAUCUUAUAUUAGGCACCA
rnacentral:tRNA from 1 species